UGGUGGUGGUGUAUUGGUGGUGGUGGUGUAUUGGUGGUGUUGGUGUGCUGCGCGCACCGCCUUCGUGCGCCGGCGUCGCGUCCGUCCGCCCCCCUGCCGGGGCUGAGUGCUGCCUGCAGCGCUGCGCCGGUCCUGAGAGAAAGGCCCGGGACGGUUUGCAGUGGUUCGAAUCAGAGCUGCUGGUAACGGCAGAUCUCUGGACAGGACAACGCGCUGCCCUGCAGCACUGCCCCUCUCAGGUCUUUCUGUGCUUUUUUUUAAUGUUUGUCUGUUCAGUUUUUCACUUUCGCCUCCUAGAAGCCAGUGAAAGAGGAGUGCUCACCUGUGCGAGAAGCUGUAUCAAGUGACAAGGGCAGCACAAAGAAAACACAGCAGGAACUGGAUGUUUCCAAACCAGAACAGGACUGGGGCUCCAGCAAUAGUGUGAAACCUACGGCCCAGCUGCAGAGUGAGAAAGAACUGGGUUCCAUGGGUGAAUGCAGUGCAGCAGGCCCCACAGAUCUAGGGGCUGUCACAGGUAAAAGCACUGACAAAAGAUGCAGUGCCCCAGCAGAGAGCAAGGAGUGGCAGAACAGCAGCAGCGUUUCAUCUGUAUGGGACAGCACUGACCUGGAACCAGGCUCCCUCAAAGCCUGUCUGGAAAUUCCACUUAUGGAUGUAAAGGAGCUUCCCCGAACUCGGCCUGGCCUCCAGUCCUUCAGAAAUCACUUGAUCAUGGAGCUGCUGUGGUUGCAACAAGCUAUUGACAGCCGUAAAAAUUACCUGAAGCUGAAACAGAGGCUGGAGUCUCCUAACAACUCAGAAGGCAGCCUGAGCGUGUGGGAUGUUUUGUACUGCUGUGGAGGAGCAGAGGAGCUGCAGCACCAAAGUCACAACAUGAUUUCACAGACAGCAGCACCCUGAGGGAACUCCAGCUCUGUGAGCUGAUGUUCUAAUCAGAUUCAUGUGGCAAAAGACUUCUGUUUCUUUUAAAUGUGAAUAUUUGGUCAAAGCAGGAAUUAAGUGACACUAUGACACUAAGGAGGUUGUGUGUCUUGGAGAGAGUCCUCCUUCCACAAGAACCCAUCCUAAGGGUAAAUUGAGGCUGGGAAAAUUGUCACAAAAGUUCCACUUUGACCAGCUCGUUGCUUGUGGUGCAAUUAAAAUGCCAGAAGGCUACAGGUGCCUUGAAUCUGUAGGAUUAAAUUCUUCUCCACUCAGCUGUGGAUGACGUGCACCAGUAUGUGAACUGUGUUUUUCUGUACAUCACCACUCUGCAAUGUCUGGGGUCUCCAAGUGCCUGUUUUCACCCAGGGCAACCUGUUCAGUGCAAGGGGCAGUGUAUCUGCCAUGGUGUGGAUGUUUGUCCAUGUGCAGAAUGGAAACCUGCUGCACAUGUCAUGCAGGUAGCAAGUGAUGGCAAGGGGAUGACAGCUUCAGGGUAUUGGUACUCUGGAUGACGUGCAAGCUGCUGCCAAAGAUACUGGCACCUCUGAACUGCUUCAUUUGAACCUGUUGGCCAUGGUAGUUAGCAUGGGGUGAGGGUAAGGUUUAAAGAGCUGUGUGGUUCCUGGUUCUCACAUGGCAGUAUUUGCAGGUUGUUUGAUGUGGCCUUCAGCCUGGCCCACAGCUUCCUCCUGCUGCAGCCGUGGUGACGGACAGUUGCUCAGGGGACUGAUGAGGAGGGACAGCAAAACACAAAGGCUGGUCAGAAGGGCGUAGGCUCAGUGGGAGACCUGCUGCAGCUCUCCUCUGUGCUCUGUGUUGGUCUGUCUGCCUCUCUGACCCAUGGGGAAUGAGCUCCCGUGGCUUAGCUCUGGCUCGUCCAGCCAAGAACGUGGUGGUGUAUCGCAACGGUGACCCCUUCUUCCACGGGAGGAAGUUUGUAGUGAACCAGCGGCAGUUCCUGACCUUUGAGGCAUUUCUGAAUGAGGUGACCAAGAGCAUUCAUGCACCCUUGGCUGUGAGGAGUCUCUACACACCCAAGCAUGGCCAUCGCGUUGCUGAACUGGCUGACCUGCAGGAUGGGUGCCAGUACGUGGCUGCAGGCUUUGAAAAGUUCAAAAGGCUCGAGUGAGUAGAUGGUCCUUUUGUCUCUGGGUUUGGUAAGCGGUUAUAGUAUUUUGAGGUGUAAAUGGAGGGGGGUGGAAAGGGCAAGUAGGUCAAAAGGAUGCAAACCCAAAGAAAAACAUAGAUUAGUUUCUUUUCCUAGUGGAAUUUACUGGAUGUAUUUCAGGUUGCUUAGGAAAUGUGCAUAUUCCUGACAAAGUCACUGACUCUUGAAAGAAAAAAUGCUGCGAGAGAUGUGCAGCCUCCAGCUGGCUGUGUGUGAUUGGUGCUGCUUUGCCUUGCAUGCACCUUGUUUUGUGGUGUGUGGGAGGUUCUAGCAGAGUUGCCAGCCACAGUUUCCGCUCUGAUAAGUAUUGUUUCUUUGGUUUAGUGGAGGUUUCUUUUGUUUUCUAAUUCUGCGUGAAGUAGAGCUGUUUAGGUUCAUCCUGAAAUACAGAGGGCUGAGAGAUUCAUGGCAUCGCUUCGUCUUGAGGGAAUGUGUGAGAUAUGUGUGCGUUGGGUGAAUUUGGCUCCCUGACUGCAUACUGCAUCCUGUUGAGGAGGUGCUCCAGGCUGGAUUAAGCAGUAGUCAGUCCUUGUAACAGCAGUCGGUCCUUGGAGCCUUAUCAUUGUUUAGCUCAAAGGAAUAAAAUAUUCUGGAUGUCUUGGUCUGUGUUUGAC
ensembl:lncRNA